ensembl:snRNA U6 U6 spliceosomal RNA
GUCCUAGCUUUGAUAGUACAUAUACUGAAAUUGGCAUGAUACAGAGAAGAUUAGCAUGGCCCCUGCUCAAGGAUUACACACAAAUUCAUGAAUUGUAACAUAUUUUU